AUUUAAGUUACAAAAUACUUUUACAUUUGAGAAAGAGAGCAAGCAAGGGUGGUGGUCUAGGAGUAUCAAGAGUGAAGAAUUUCUUGCAAGGAGAAGAGAAACUAUUUCAGAUGAAUUAGCAGAUGGUUCUGGACUUGCUUAGAAGAUGAGAGAUCUGUGGGGAAAAAGGAGACAUUGGGAAUUUCUAAAAUAAAUCGAUGUUUUAAUUUCCGAACUGUGUGAAAUUUUAAAUUUCAGAAGUUUAUGAACUGUGUGGAAUUUUAUUUUCAGAAGACUUGUGUUGUAAUAAAGAACGUAAUAUUUUGUUGGUGUAAAAAAAAAUUAUAUAUGUAUUUUAUGGAAAAUAAAUUGUAACGCCUAAAUCGGGGUGUUACAAUGUAUAGGAUUAAUCUUC